UAGGGAAUCUUCGGCAAUGGACGAAAGUCUGACCGAGCAACGCCGCGUGAGUGAAGAAGGUUUUCGGAUCGUAAAACUCUGUUGUUAGAGAAGAACAAGGACGUUAGUAACUGAACGUCCCCUGACGGUAUCUAACCAGAAAGCCACGGCUAACUACGUGCCAGCAGCCGCGGUAAUACGUAGGUGGCAAGCGUUGUCCGGAUUUAUUGGGCGUAAAGCGAGCGCAGGCGGUUUCUUAAGUCUGAUGUGAAAGCCCCCGGCUCAACCGCGGAGGGUCAUUGGAAACUGGGAGACUUGAGUGCAGAAGAGGAUAGUGCAAUUCCAUGUGUAGCGGUGAAAUGCGUAGAUAUAUGGAGGAACACCAGUGGCGAAGGCGGCUCUCUGGUCUGUUACUGACGCUGAGGCUCGAAAGCGUGGGGAGCAAACAGG
rnacentral:rRNA from 1 species